UAUUGCAUUGGUUAGAUGAAUGAGUGUGAAUUACCUUCUGCAACAUGAACCAAAAUACUCCACAGUGAGUUUAAAGCUUUAUAGGAUGUUUUUCUUGUUUUUCAAUCAGGAUCUCAUUUGGCCAUGGAGAUAUUUAUAGAGGCUGUUUUUGAUGUUAUUCACAAGUCUAUACAUGUUCUUUUUUCUCAUCAGAAGCUCUUGGAACUUUAUUCAGGUUGUUUUCAUCUCAUGAAAGGCCGAUUCUAGUUGAUAAUGAUGUUAUCAAGGAUGCCUCUGAUUCUUGCAGAAAGGAAUACCGGUUCUCGUUUGUCUCCCAACAAGAUGCCCGGACAUGUCAAGNUGUUAUAACAGAGCUAGGGUAUCCAUACGAAGCUAUUUGUGUGAUCACAGCCUAUANAUAUGUUCUUCUUCUAGAAAGAAUUCCUAGUUGAGUAUCUAGUGGUUUGUUGGCUCCCCCACCUUUGCAGCCUAUGAUCAAGGCUUGGCUUUGAUGUAUUUAUGGGAAAUAUUCGUGGCCUGNUUUUUAGGGAACAUGUCAACAAGAAUAUCUCCUCUCAUUCUGAUUUGAAGGAGGCUGCAUACGCAGAAGGCACAAAAGAGCUUUGCUUGUUGUAGCAAGGUGUGUUGUACGCACAGAAUCUGCAGAUACCAUCCUUUGAUGGAGAGUUGUUAUUGCUGCAACAGAGAGCUAAAGAGGAGAAAUGCAAUGCAACCCUAGAGAUUCUGCGCAGAGGAGCUAAGCAUGGAGAAAAACCAAUAAGAU